rnacentral:rRNA from 1 species
CCUACGGGAGGCAGCAGUGAGGAAUAUUGGACAAUGGGCGCAAGCCUGAUCCAGCCAUGCCGCGUGCAGGAUGACGGUCCUAUGGAUUGUAAACUGCUUUUGCACAGGAGGAAACAACUCUACGUGUAGAGUCUUGACGGUACUGUGAGAAUAAGGAUCGGCUAACUCCGUGCCAGCAGCCGCGGUAAUACGGAGGAUCCAAGCGUUAUCCGGAAUCAUUGGGGUUUAAAAGGGUCCGUAGGCGGUUUAGUAAGUCAGUGGUGAAAGCCCAUCGCUCAACGGUGGAACGGCCAUUGAUACUGCUAGACUUGAAUUAUUAGGAAGUAACUAGAAUAUGUAGUGUAGCGGUGAAAUGCUUAGAGAUUACAUGGAAUACCAAUUGCGAAGGCAGGUUACUACUAAUGGAUUGACGCUGAUGGACGAAAGCGUGGGUAGCGAACAGGAUUAGAUACCCUGGUAGUCCACGCCGUAAACGAUGGAUACCUAGUNUGUGGUCGGCGNGUCGUAGUGGNGUAGACGAAGUAGAGUAAGUAUACCUACCGUCGGGUAGGUACGGUUACGUCGAGAAGAGAAACGUAACGUAAAUAAGUAAGUUAGUACGGACGUAGAGACGUUACGCCGACGGACGGACGACGAGGGGAGGGUAGGGAG